GGAUAUGAGGGUGAUCUGGCUGUGACAUCUGUCACCCCAUUGAUCACCAGGGUUGAUUCGGCUUAUCCGGCUGGCUAGGCGGGUGUCCCCUUCCUCCCUCACCACUCCAUGUGCGUCCCUCCUGAAGCUGCUGCGAGCUCGGUCGAAGAGGGUGACCAUCCCCAAUAGAGGAGGACCGGUCUUCGGUCAAAUGUAUGCGAGUAGCUGCGCUCUCCUGCUAAAACCUCUAAAAUAAUGUUUCUUUAGAAGAAAUUUGAGAAUUCUAUUUAUAAAUACUACAUUGCUAUUCUUCAGUACUAUGUUUUCAGCA
rnacentral:snRNA from 1 species